rnacentral:ncRNA from 1 species
UACAAUGGCGGUACACCUGUCAAAGCGUAACGCAGGUGUCCUAAGGCGAGCUCAGGUAGGACGGAAACCUCCCGCGGAACAGAAGGGCAAAAGCUCACUUGAUCUUGAUUUUCAGCACUGUGCUGGUCCAUCAACUCCAGAGCUUUGUUUCUGAAACACUAGAGAGAUGUGG